rnacentral:rRNA from 1 species
UACGUGAGGGUGCGAGCGUUUGUCCGGAAUUUAUUGGGCGUAAAGAGCUUGUAGGCGGUUUGUCGCGUCUGCUGUGAAAAUCCGGGGCUCAACCCCGGACUUGCAGUGGGUACGGGCAGACUGGAGUGUGGUAGGGGAGACUGGAAUUCUUGGUGUAGCGGUGAAAUGCGUAGAUAUCGGAAGGAACACCGGUGGCGAAAGCGGCGCGCUGGAUCUCUUCUGACGCUGAGGCGCGAAAGCCAGGGGAGCGAACGGG